UACGUAGGGCGCAAGCGUUAUCCGGAAUUAUUGGGCGUAAAGAGCUCGUAGGCGGUUUGUCGCGUCUGCCGUGAAAGUCCGGGGCUCAACUCCGGAUCUGCGGUGGGUACGGGCAGACUAGAGUGAUGUAGGGGAGACUGGAAUUCCUGGUGUAGCGGUGAAAUGCGCAGAUAUCAGGAGGAACACCGAUGGCGAAGGCGGUUCUCUGGGACGGUACUGACGCUGAGACGCGAAAGCGUGGGGAGCGAACAGG
rnacentral:rRNA from 1 species